GGGCGAUUAGCUCAGCGGUAGAGCGCCUGCCUUACAAGCAGGACGCCACUGGUUCAAAUCCAGUAUCGCCCA
rnacentral:tRNA from 1 species